rnacentral:lncRNA from 1 species
AUGACCACGCAUUUCCAAGGGCAAGUCUUUCCAGUAUGUGGCGAUCAAUUACUGUUAGUGCUGGGCAGUUAGGAAAAAUGCUGCCGAAAUGCUUGUGUACAAGUGCUUGGUGUUUGCACACGGCAACUGUGCUACC